rnacentral:rRNA from 1 species
UACGUAGGUGGCAAGCGUUGUCCGGAUUUAUUGGGUUUAAAGGGUGCGUAGGCGGUCCUAUAAGUCAGUGCUGAAAUAUCCCGGCUUAACCGGGAGGGUGGCAUUGAUACUGCAGGACUUGAGUAGAGUUGAGGUUGGCGGAAUUGACGGUGUAGCGGUGAAAUGCUUAGAUAUCGUCAAGAACACCGAUAGUGAAGACAGCUAACUAAGCUCUAACUGACGCUGAGGCACGAAAGUGUGGGGAUCAAACAGG